GCCUGGAAGCGCGGCUACCACAGCUGCGCAUGCUCGCAGAUUCGUUACCGUGGUCUCCACAGACCUGAAGAUAUGAGGAUGGAUCCUGGAUCAGACAUGUGAUGUACAAAAAUUUUCUCCCAGUCUGAAAGGCAGAAAUUGUCAAUUUUGAUGGAAUCAAAUUGAUCAACACUACUUAAAGCCUAGUGGGGAAGAGAGUUAAAAUUCAUGAUUAUGACACGACGUUAAAGUGCAAAAUUUACCGGUCACAUGUGCAUUGAUUGUUUAAGCCUUAUAUUACUUUAUUCAUGAAGAAAAGAAGAGGGAAGAAAAUGAUGUAUCUCACAUAUAGACCAUCCCCCAAAUGAGGGAUUCUGAAUUCUUCACCUUCCUAUGCAAGGUCAAUUCUGGAUAUAAAAUAACAAAGAACAAUUAAGAAUAAUAAAUAAUGACAAAAGUAUUAAAGAUUAGUCUUUGUUUAUGGUAUAUAACAUAUAUUCUAACUGUUUAUACACUUACAGUAGUACAUACCAAAUUAUUAUAUUGUAGUAGAAAAUGUAUACUAAAUCUUGCUUAAAAUGUAUUUUAAAUUCUGUAGCCACUCCUCAAGAUUGGAUGUUAUUACUUUAAACCAGUGGUUCUCAACUGAGGGUGAUUUCUCCCCUUCAAGCACUAUUUGGCAAUGGCUGGAGACAUUUAUAUUAGUCAUGACAUAAAGUGCUACUGGCAUCUAGUAGGAAGAGUCCAGGCAUGCUGCUAAAUAUCUUAGAAUGCACAGGGCAGCCCCUCAUAAGAAAAAAUUAUUUGGCCCAAAUUAAUAAUAGUGCUGAGGUUAAGAAACCCUGAUUUAAACAAAUAUGCAUUGAGUACUUUCUGUUGCUUAAUAUUGUGCUUAGCAAUAUUUGGGGAUACAAAAUGAGCUGUGUAAUCAGUAUAUUCAUGAAGUUUGACAUCUUAGAGAAGAAUUGAGUUGGGAGUCCAAAUAAUGAUGCUCCUGUAGUAAACUGAUUAAUAUAUAACAGACAAAAUAAAAGACCAUAAAGGUUCAGUGGAUCCCAAUUCACCUUUCCUUUGGGAAUAAGUAGUUUUGCAAAUCUUACAGCAGUUAAGUGUUUUUAUCUACUUUCUCAAAGGAGAUAGAUAAUUCUUUACAUGGUUGCAAAAUACAGAGGGUACAGAAAGGGUACAGUACUCAUUGAAAAAUAGAUUUCUCCUUCUUCCAUUGCUGAUCACCACUUCCUUUUCCCCAAGGCAAUAAUACUUCUAUUUUCUUGUGGAUCCUACCUGAGGUAUCCUGUUCCUACAUAUAUUACAUUGUAUGGAUGCAUUAUAAUUUAUUUAAUUAGGCCUAUUGAUAAACAUUUAGAUUACUUCAAUUUUCUGUAAUUGCUAAAAAUGCAUGAAUAUUUCUUUUAUAUAUCUGAAGGAUAACUACAAGUGGAAUUUCAGUUUUGGAAUCUAUGUGAAAUUUUCACUUGGAAAAAUAUUUUCCAAAUUGUCUGUCCCCUGUGGUAGCCAGCCUCCAAGAUGACCCCUAAUUAUCCUUGUCUCCUGAGAUAUAUGCUCCAGUGUAGCCCCCUCCUGCACUGAACAGUGUUGACCUAUGUGACCAAUAGGAUAUUGAGAAAAUGAUUACAGAGAUAGGUCAGAAGAGACAUCACAGCUUCCACCUUGCUUACUUUGGGAUCUCUGGCUCUAGGGGAAUCCAGCUGUCAUGUCAUGAGGGUAAUCAAGCAGCUCUGGGAGAUGCUUACAUGUGGAGGAACUGAGGAUUCCUACCAACAACAAGCAUCAACUUGCUAACCAGGUGUGAGCCACUUUUAAAAGUGGAUCAUCCAGCCCUAGUCAAGACUUAAAAUGACUGCAGCCCUAACAUCCUGGUUGCAGCCUCAGAAGGGACCCCGAGCCAGAACUGCCCAGCCUAAGUUGCUCCCAAAUUUCUGAUACAGAGAGAUUGUCAGAAAAGAUAAAUGUUUAUUGUUGUUUUAAGCCUCUAAGUUUUGGAGUAAUUUGUUAUGUAGCAUUGGAUAACUAAUGCAUUCUUCAUAGAAGUCAUUACAGUAUGUGUAAGAAUGCCUGAUAGUCUAGACCUAUCCUCUCUAACACAGUGUGGUAUCAUUUUUUUUUUUUAAUGCUUGCCCAUGAAAUAGGCAAAUAACAUGUCAUUGUUAAUUGAAUUGCAUUUUCUCAGUGUAUUAUUUUAAGAAUCACAUAUUUAAGAAUUCAGUUGUGAUCUCUAGUCACGUACCUUGCUCAUUUUUGUACUGGGUUGUUUUCUUAGCUAUUUUUAGGAACUCAUAUUGACAAAAUUUGUAAUUCAUGUUUGAUAUGAAUUGCAAAUGUU